UACAGAGGUCUCAAGCGUUGUUCGGAUUCAUUGGGUGUAAAGGGCGCGUAGGCUGCGGGGCAAGUCGGGUGUGAAAUCUCAGAGCUCAACUCUGAAACUGCACUCGAUACUGCUUUGCUCGAGGACUGGAGAGGAGAUUGGAAUUCACGGUGUAGCAGUGAAAUGCGUAGAUAUCGUGAGGAAGACCAGUGGCGAAGGCGGAUCUCUGGACAGUUCCUGACGCUGAGGCGCGAAAGCGUGGGAGCGAACAGG
rnacentral:rRNA from 1 species